UUCCGGUUGAUCCUGCCGGAGGCCACUGCUAUUGGGAUCCGACUAAGCCAUGCGAGUCGAGAGGGUUCGGCCCUCGGCAGACUGCUCAGUAACACGUGGAUAAUCUACCCUUAGGUGGAGGAUACUCUCGGGAAACUGAGAAUAAUACUCCAUAGGUCUAGGAUGCUGGAAUGCACCUAGGUUGAAAGUUCCGGCGCCUAAGGACGAGUCUGCGGACUAUCAGGUAGUAGUCAGGGUAAAGACCUGACUAGCCUACGACGGAUACGGGUUGUGAGAGCAAUAGCCCGGAGACGAUAUCUGAGACACGAUAUCGGGCCCUACGGGGCGCAGCAGGCGCGAAAUCUUCACAAUGUGCGAAAGCACGAUGAGGGGAUCCCAAGUGUUGGUUCGUAAGAGUCAUCUGUUUCUUUGUCUAAAAAACAGAGAGAGUAAGAGCUGGGUAAGACGGGUGCCAGCCGCCGCGGUAAUACCUGCAGCUCAAGUGGUGGCCGCUAUUAUUGGGCCUAAAACGUCCGUAGCCGGUUUAGUAAAUGCCUGGGUAAAUCGUGUAGCUCAACUAUACGAAUACCGGGUAGACUGCUAAACUUGAAACCGGGAGAGGCUAGAGGUACUCCUAGGGUAGAGGUGAAAUUCUGUAAUCCUAGGGGGACCACCAGUGGCGAAGGCGUCUAGCUAGAACGGGUUUGACGGUGAGGGACGAAGCCCUGGGGCGCAAACCGGAUUAGAUACCCGGGUAGUCCAGGGUGUAAACGCUGCUCGCUUGAUGUUAGUCGGGCUCCGAGCCCAACUAGUGUCGGAGAGAAGUUGUUAAGCAAGCUGCCUGGGAAGUACGGUCGCAAGACUGAAACUUAAAGGAAUUGGCGGGGGAGCACAGCAACGGGUGGAGCGUGCGGUUUAAUUGGAUUCAACGCCGGA
rnacentral:rRNA from 1 species